CGUAAAAUAAAGCACACCGACCCAGAACGCUACUCUAGCAAGUAAAGCAAUAAAAAUAAAAAAAAACAGUUUUUUUUAAACAUCCGUAAAGUUUCAUGUGGCAUCUGCGCAUGGCAACUAGAGACACUCGCGCGCUCUCUAUGGAGGAUGCGGCGAGCUGAGAUGCUUAACGGAACCGGGAGAGCUCCGCCGUCGCCCGCCGCCGCCGCCGCACAAUUCCGCCUGCAGACAUCAACACGGCUGCGGAAUACACACAUACACACCCGUGGUCCUGACGCCCCGGUAAUGGCGGAUGAAAGGUAUUUGACGGGAUAUUUUGUCGCGAACGGGGAUUGUCCGAAGUUUUCUAAAAAGUUUCAUUUUAUUACCCACACCAAUCUCGAUUUGAAACUUCAAGAUCUCCUCGCAUCACACACAGGGUCAGACACGGAGCGCGUGCAGCAUGGCCGUGCAAUCCAUUUCAGGUGAGUGAGACAUUUAUAAAGCGCGUCCUCUAGGAAUGAAGGCGAGCGCGGAUGUCCUCUCCGUGAGCGCACGGACAUUUCAGACGCUACCUGUUUGAACGGUCUGAGAGCUCAACCUGUACGAAACCGUGCCGCGAUCGCGUAACGUGGCCGUUUAAUACGAUUAAACUAUUUAAACGGCGGGGAAAUGCGCGGUCAGGUCCUCUCACAGGGAGCGACCGAAAGGCAGGAGGAGAGGAAAAGAGUCCAGAAUGCCUCUUUCAUACUUCCGUUCGACGUCAUGAUUUAAUUGUGACGUAAUAAAGGAGCGUUCAGGCGGAAUCAGCCGCCAACAGAAAUAACCCACGUUAGAUCUUAUUAUUUUACAGGGAACGCUCUUGCAAGCUAUUAAAAUGUUUAGGAUGCGUUUCAUUGUUAUCUGUAGAGUAGGUAGCUGUUUUGCUGUAAAGAUAGCCGAUGUGAAGGCAGUUCAUUUUUAUUCAUUUAUUUUUUUGCAACGACUAACUCUGAUUAAAUCGUAGCGAAUGAACGCAAGCGUUCGGUUGUGUUUAACGGGCGACUUUUACGUACCGAAAUCGUGGAGACAGCACUUAUUUCGGUUGUUAAAAAUCGUUAGAUGCGCAGCGCGCUGAAACGCAGUCCUUCGCGUUUUUAAGCAGAAAUAAACCUCACAAUAAACCGUAAAUCCAACAACGUUUUAAAACGUUUUUGCAGUUUCGUAGAAACGAAAAACACAGCCUAAAACAGCCGAAACGCAAAAGAAACUACUGAUCGUCUGCGUGUCUCGAACGUGUCUCUGUCUUUUGUGUGUGAUUAAAAAAAAUGUGCCCAAACUACGAUAAAGACUAAUAUUUUAAACUAUGCCCGAGCUGUUAAAAUUAAUACACUGCAUAGGAAUUUUGCAGAAAUCCUUUUUUUUUUUGAAGAUUUCUAUUUUAACUCUUCGGUUCAUCAAAGUUUUAAAAUGAACGUGAUUGGGUCAGGACUGUUUUAAAAACUAAUUAUAAUUCAAACAUGCGUGCGUUUCGAAUAGGAGAGGUCCUUACCUUAUAAUGAAACCUCAAUUGUAUCGGUCUUUGUGAGAACAAUUGAUGUAGCAGCAGCCUUCGCAUGCAAAACCGAGAAUGGAGCGUUUAAAAAUACCCUCCUCAUCCUCGAUAUUCACCUCUGAUUAUUACCGAAUCGGAUUUUACGCAAUCGGGUUUGCGUUGGCUUCGAUCGGAGAAUUUCGAAGAGACGGAGGAAUUGAACGAAUGCGGCGUUAAACCCAAAGAAAGAAGAAGAGCUGAAUAAACUCUGCGGACUCUAUUGACAACUAUGCGUUUCCUCGGGGGUUCGGCUGGGUGGGGGCGGGCGAGGUGGAGGUAUGGCGGGUCAGAACUGCUCAAUACAUCCAAACAGACCCUCCGAGCCGUGGAUUUGGUAAGAUCUGCGAACCUUCUGCUGCGAGCUCAACGCAUCGGUGGCUUCAGCUGGGAUCUCGUCUCCUAGGGAUGUUGACUAAAUGAUUUCCAGUGCCUUAUCUUAAUUGAAGAUUAAAAUGUUCAUAUUCACUCUGGAGGGAUAGCGUAAAUGCAUAGCUCGCCUGAAGCCCCAAGUGAGAGUUUUUAGGUUUCAUCUCAUUCAGUACGUGCUCUUCUAAGUGAUUUGUUUUUUAAAUGAAGAGCUUAUUAAAGAAAAUGUCGAUUGGUGAACCGUUUAGCAUUUCAAUAGCAACCAGUCCUGAUUUAAAAGACAAUUUCACAUGUGGGAAACGGUCUUCUGGUGAUUGAUUAUGAGUUAGAAUUUGAGGAAUCAGUGUCUAAAAGUUUGGUCUGCUCAUUUAAAAAGAAAACGAGAGAUUAAACUUUUAAAGUCUUUAAAACUCUCGCUAAUAACGAGUUCAGGGUUGUAACAAUUUAACUAGUUAUGCAAUAUUUAUGUUUAGUAUACGUACUACUGUUUAAUCCCCUUAGUGCACCUUUCUGCAAGUACACUGAAUAGAAUUGCAAAGAUAUUGUGUCGUGCAUUUAGUCUUAGUUUUAGUUUAAAAUUUGGGCUGUCGGUCUAUAAUCGAUAGCUACAUCUACGUGGAUUUAUCAAAGUUUUUAGAGUGAUGUUGUUCAGUCCAGCGUUAAACCCAACGGGUCGAAAUCAGAUGAUAUUCGUCUUAAAUAAAAAUAUGAAGUUCGAGUAGCCCGCUUUUCUCCUUUUCUUUUUCUCAACUUCGCAUUCACAAGCGUGCCUUCGCCUCAGAUCAAUAUUUCUCAGUGCUGGCGAUUUAAACGGCUUUUUCGAGUCACGCGGACCCGUUUCGCGUUUCCCAGCAGACACGAACCACCGAGGAACGUCUUUAUUUAUCCGUCUGUCCCGGAGCUCGACUCGAUGCUUGCGGACUUUAACGGGAUCAAACGGGGACAUUUAGGGUGUGUCCAUGACCUCGUGGGACGUGUUUCCCGGAGCUCGCGGGGGCAGUUUUAUGAAUGGUGGAUGGGAAACCCUCGUGCAGGAAAUGAGAAACUCCAUAACAUCUGACACCGGUGACCAGAUCCCCGACCUGCGCCGUAAUAGCACGACCACCAUCCAUCUCUUCCACACACCAGCAAACACACACACACACACACGCACACAGCAUC